rnacentral:tRNA from 1 species
GCGCUCAUAGCUCAAUGGAUAGAGCGCCUGUCUUCGGAACAGGAGGUUGGGGGUUCAAGUCCCUCUGGGCGCA